rnacentral:tRNA from 1 species
UCGAAAAUAGUUUAAUUGGUAAAAUAAAGGUCUCCAAAAUCUUAGUUGUAAGUUCAAGUCUUAUUUUUCUCG